rnacentral:snoRNA from 1 species
CUGCAGCCAAUUAAGCCGCUCGUCCUCCUCCUCCUCGUGGGGGCCGGUGUGCAAACAGCAAGCCUCCUUGGUAGAAAAAAAAAAGAGUGAAGGGGUGGAGUUUAGCCUGUCAAUCAGGU